AACACUUAUGUGUGUGUUUAAUUUGUAACAAAGCCUUAUGGACAAGUACAAACAGUAAAUCCUAUUUUGCAAACCAGAACUCAAUGUUGGGUUUGGAUUUUGGUACACAUAAGAAGGAACAUG